AGGUCAAGUGAAGAAGGGCGCACGGUGAAUGCCUUGGCACUGGAAGCCGAUGAAGGACGCGACUAACCGCGAAAGUCUUCGGGGAGCCGUAAGUAGGCUUUGAUCCGGAGGUCUCCGAAUGGGGGAACCCAGCAUGUGCAGACAUGCUAUCCUUAAGUGAAUACAUAGCUUAAGGAGGGAACACGCAGUGAACUGAAACAUCUAAGUAGCUGCAGGAAGAGAAAGAAAUAUCGAUUUCCCAAGUAGCGGCGAGCGAACAGGAAAGAGCCCAAACCGGCAGAUUUAUCUGCCGGGGUUGUAGGACUGAGACAUGGCACUUCAGAGGAUAGCAGAAGCGUUUGGGAAAGCGCGCCAGAGAGGGUGAGAGCCCCGUAAGCGAAAUCCAAAGGAGGCCUAUCAGUAUCCUGAGUAGGGCGGGACACGUGAAAUCCCGUUUGAAUCCGCGAGGACCAUCUCGCAAGGCUAAAUACUAACCAGUGACCGAUAGUGAACCAGUACCGUGAGGGAAAGGUGAAAAGAACCCCGGGAGGGGAGUGAAAGAGAACCUGAAACCGUGUGCCUACAAGUAGUCAGAGCCCGUUAA
rnacentral:rRNA from 1 species